rnacentral:rRNA from 1 species
UACAGAGGUCCCAAGCGUUGUUCGGAUUCACUGGGCGUAAAGGGUGCGUAGGUGGUGAGGUAAGUCGGAUGUGAAAUCUCCGAGCUCAACUCGGAAAUGGCAUUGGAAACUACCUUGCUCGAGGGUUGGAGGGGGGACUGGAAUGCUUGGUGUAGCAGUGAAAUGCGUAGAUAUCAAGCGGAACACCAGUGGCGAAGGCGGCCCUCUGGACAGUGACUGACGCUGAGACGCGAAAGCGUGGGGAGCAAACAGG